CCUCUGGAAGAGCAGCAGAACAGCAGAGCAGAUCGUGACAUCCAAUGCCUCUGGAAGAGCAGCAGAACAGCAGAACAGAUCAUGACAUCCAAUGCCUCUGGAAGAGCAGCAGA